CCAUGAUCACCUAUUCCUUUUAAUGCUAAUGACUUCCCUCUCAAUAUUAGAGGGGGGUGGUGGCAGAGUCUAGUAAGUCAUCGCCCACUUCCACAAGCGGGUAGGGACAGAAAGAGAUAUGGGGCCAUCUAAUCCAAACCAUUGGUAUGCCGAGAAUCAAAUCUCUUACUCCCGGAAGGAGUCAUAUUGAGAAGUUGUUCAGUCGAUCGUCCCAUUCAUUUGAUAGGCGG
rnacentral:lncRNA from 1 species